rnacentral:rRNA from 1 species
UACGUAGGGGGCUAGCGUUGUCCGGAUUUAUUGGGCGUAAAGAGCGUGUAGGCGGUUUGUCGCGUCUGCUGUGAAAACUCGGGGCUUAACCCCGGGCCUGCAGUGGGUACGGGCAGACUAGAGUGCGGUAGGGGAGACUGGAAUUCCUGGUGUAGCGGUGAAAUGCGCAGAUAUCAGGAGGAACACCGGUGGCGAAGGCGGGUCUCUGGGCCGUAACUGACGCUGAGGCACGAAGGCCAGGGAGCAAACGGG